GUCAGGAUGGCCGAGCGGUCUAAGGCGCCAGACUCAAGAUCAGAAUUCUGAUGAAAAUGAAGACGUGGGUUCAAAUCCCACUCCUGACA